rnacentral:rRNA from 1 species
GACGAACGCUGGCGGCGUGCUUAACACAUGCAAGUCGAACGGAAAGGCCCUGCUUUUGUUGGGUGCUCGAGUGGCGAACGGGUGAGUAACACGUGAGUAUCCUGCCCUUGACUUUGGGAUAACUUUUGGAAACUGCGGCUAAUACAGGCUAGGAGCUCUUGCUGCAUGUGGGUGGUUGGCAAGUUUCGGCGGUUGGGUAAUGACUCGCUGCUUAUCAGCUUGUUUGUAGGGUAGCUGCUUCCCAAGGCUUUGACGGGUAGCCGGCCUGGGUGGGUGACCGGCCACAUUGGUACUGAGAUACGGCCCAGAAUCCUACGGGAGGCAGCAGGGGGGAAUAUUGCGCAAGACGCGGAAGCCUGUCGCAGUCACGCUGCGUGCGGGAUGACGGCCUUUGGGUUGUAAACCGCUGUCGCCUGUAACGAAGCGUGAGUGACGGUACUGGGUAAAGAAGCACCGGCUAACUACGUG